CCCCCAUCACCCCCAUCAUCCCCAUCACCCCGACCCCCAUCACCCCCCCAGCUGGCGUGUCGUCUCCAUCUCCAACAGAACAACACGUGCCUCGUUAAAGAAAUAACAAUAUUAAUAAUAAAACUGGAAAUGGUUCUUAGCGUUUCUUAAAACGUUUCUUAACACUGUAAACAUUUCUUAACACUGUAAACGUUUCUUAACACUGUAAAACGUUUCUUAACACUGUAAAACGUUUCUUACUGUAAAAGUGUCUUACUGUAAACAUUUCUUACUGUAAAAGUGUCUUACUGUAAACGUUUCUUACUGUAAAAGUGUCUUACUGUAAACAUUUCUUACUGUAAACGUUUCUUAACACUGUAAACAUUUCUUACUGUAAACGUUUCUUAACACUGUAAAACUGUCUUACUGUAAACAUUUCUUACUGUAAACGUUUCUUACUGUAAACGUUUCUUGCCUUAUUGCCAAACUGUGCUCCUCCGCUGUCCCCGUUUAGACCUGGGACGGUUUUUCUAUGCUCAUGUUUAUAUUUAUAGUGGUUAACUAGAAAAAAUAAAGCAUUUUCAAAAAUAUAACAUGGUGUGUCUUCUAUACAGUUAAUCUGGUCCACUGGUCCUAGUCUCGAUAAUAUGGUGUCUUCUAUACAGUUAAUCUGGUCCACUGGUCCUAGUCUCGAUAAUAUGGUGUCUUCUAUACAGUUAAUCUGGUCCACUGGUCCUAGUCUCGAUAAUAUGGUGUCUUCUAUACAGUUAAUCUGGUCCACUGGUCCUAGUCUUGAUAAUAUGGUGUCUUCUUUACAGUUAAUCUGGUCCAGGUGCCUGCCUGUCUGCCUGCCUGCCUGCCUGCCUGCCUGUCUGUCUGUCUGUCUGUCUGUCUGUCUGUCUGUCUGUCUGUCUGUCUGUCUGUCUUUUUGCCUGCCUGCCUGCCUGCCUGCCUGCCUGCCUGUCUGCCUGCUUGCCUGUCUGCCUGCCUGCCUGCCUGUCUCCCAGAUUAAAAGCUUCUAUGCAGUAGUUAUUGGAUGUGACUCAGCAUGUUAGCCAUCUCACUAAUAAAGCAAUCCAAAAUGCACUGCAUUCACGGUUUCACUUUUCAAGGUAUUCUACGGAAUCGUCCUAAUAAAGCCCGCUGUACUAUAGACCUAUAGUCUAAUGUAGGCUAUAUAUGUAUGUAUUGAAGUUUGUUUUGGAGAGAUGUCCUGUUUUUCGGAUUAUAAUCUCUGUAAGGUACAACAUUUGCAGUGAGUUUUUGUAAGAAAAAAUAGAUCUCUGAUCUAGGAAGAGGUCAGAUUCAUCUUUGUUGUCCCCAAGCCCAAUUUAUCACCCAUAUAUUUCUUCAGGGACUAUGAAUGUUAAGUUUAAACUACUUUAUUCACAGUAUUAAUGCUGGUUCAUGCCGGUGCAAUCCACCCAGGGGAUAUCUAUAAAAGUUUCACAUUUACAAAAGUCUCUCUCUCUCAAAGGAAAAGUUCAUCUUAUUUAAAAAAUGUUUUUAUUUUAAGCAAUAAUAAAUAUAUGAAUACAGAUGAUAUUUGUGAGUAAAUUUUCAUCUUAAAGAAAAUGCUCCGGUACUUUUGUCGACUAUUAAGUGUUUUUUUUGUUGUUGAGGAGAACGACGUGUCGAUCAGACAUUAUUACAAAGAGACAUUCGGGAAGUUUUAAUGAG
rnacentral:lncRNA from 1 species